UCAGAUUCCAAACGGACGAAUGGGAUUUGCCACUUCGACAGACACUACAGGCAUGAGCGGCGCUCCUGACGGCUAUUCCUGUACUCAGGGGGAAGCAGCAUCAAAACAAGCCUGUUGAGCUCUCCGCCUCCCACCCCUGCAGAUGCAGACACGCCCGCAGGUCCCAGACCCACCGGCUUCUGGCCACCGUCCCUCUUUCUCUCCCCAACAGGUUCCGUUAAGACCAGCGUGUGGACAUGCUCCCCUGCGAGCACCUGGUUCCUCGGACGGAUUCCCCACCGUGCGGGGUCUGCACCGCUCGCGUAUUUGUGCGCCGUGAAAGUGUUUGCCGACAGCAUUUUCCAGGAGUCCACGCAAGUGAGACCUGUUCCGGACCCUUCCUCAUGCUCCCAGAACACGCCGACUGCGCCCUGCUCCCGACUUCACACGCACCCGUGAGGGUCACCCUGGAUCCUCGGUUUCCCUCACAGACUCCCAGGACGGUGCUCGGCUCAGGUCACUGCCUGUUUGGUUUUAUUUUGAAGUAAUCCCAGGGCCAGCAAGGGCUGCAGUCAAGUUGGAGGACCAGUGCGGAUUCAUCCGGAAGACUUCAGAGGCCCUGGGUCCGGGGUCUGGGACAUGCCUGAUUCGUGGCCGAUGGAGGCCGUGACACUUGGAAUAAAGAAGCCGAACGGGGGGACCGGGGUAGGUGUGGGGAGCUUGGCCCCCCCCCCACCCCCGCAUGAAGCUGGCCCAGGCGAGGCCACACCUACGGGGACACAGUUCUGAUGGGCAGGCAGGGGGGCUCCAGCAGAUGCGUGAAGCAGGGCCAGAAGCCCCCUUGCAGCUCUGGACAGGGAUCCGGCUCCUCUAGGCCAGUCCGGCCCCCUCUGGCCGCCAUCUCCCGGCAGAACACUCUG